ACAAGAUGUGAGCUUGCAUGCCAAGACUAGAUAGUGUGGCUGACUGAUAAGAAAGGAUCGAGGUACACCUCCAGAAGCCAGCAAGGCUGAAGCUGAUCAGACUGCUACUUCCAAUAGUGAUUGGGGUAUGUCUGCAUUGAACCUAACUGCUGCACCCAACUUUUCCAGAGUCUGAUAUUGUCCACACCCCUCAUCUUUCCUUUUCAUCCCCUGAGCAUGGAGAAGAAGGAGCAGCCAUCUUAGGAGAGAGCUGAGGAACUGUGUGUGAGCAGAGAAGCUAAUGGAUCCAGGAGUGAGAGGACCUCCUUUGUGACCACAGCUGCAGCUGAGUGAAGCUGAUCGUUGUCCAAGACCCAGAUCCUGUCCGGGGAAAGGAGGAUUGUUUCCAGGAAGGCUGACAAGAGCAUACCCUGUGGGACCUAAUUUUUGCUGGAGAGACUGGUUGUUCGUUUCAGAGACAUCAGUGGAUAAAGAGCAGACCUGGGUCGGUAAGAUCGUGCACCCAUCACACUGCAGUGUUGGCGCCUAGAGACUUAGACCAGGCCUGUAGUUAGAUAGUUAGUAAAAGUUGCUACUGGUGCUACAAGGACUCCAUUACUAAAAGGAACAUUGCACAUUUGGGAGCUGAUAAACACCCCCACAAACUCCAUCCACUUCAGCAUUUUGUUCAGGAGUAAUAAUCAGACAUGUGCUGCCAGACAAGUUAUGGGAGGGGGAAUUAUAUAGAGCAUGGUAAGAAUUUGAACAGUUGUGUUGCACCGCAGUCCAGCCUGUACUAAGCACCCAACCAAUUGUUCGUGUUUCUUUAAGGGUAAUAAUAGGUACGGCGAGGCAGUUUUAGGUGUGCCAGCCAGUAGGUAAAUUACUGCGAAACUUCCGCUGGCAUCCAUAAGGGGUGCUGUGCUGUGCAACACAGGGGUCUCAGCCUUCGGGCUGGGUGUAUGUAAA